rnacentral:piRNA from 1 species
UGCUCCUUCACAGGAGAAUGGCAGAUG